rnacentral:rRNA from 1 species
CUACGGGGCGCUGCAGUGAGGAAUAUUGCACAAUGGGGGGAACCCUGAUGCAGCAACGCCGCGUGGAGGAUGACGCAUUUCGGUGUGUAAACUCCUUUUAUAUGUCAAGAAAAUGACGGUAGCAUAUGAAUAAGCACCGGCUAACUCCGUGCCAGCAGCCGCGGUAAUACGGAGGGUGCAAGCGUUACUCGGAAUCACUGGGCGUAAAGGACGCGUAGGCGGGUUGGAAAGUCAGGUGUGAAAUCCUACAGCUUAAUUGUAGAACUGCACUUGAAACUUCUAAUCUAGAGUAUGGGAGGGGGAGAUGGAAUUAGUGGUGUAGGGGUAAAAUCCGUGGAUAUCACUAGGAAUACCUAAAGCGAAGGCGAUCUCCUGGAAUAUUACUGACGCUAAGGCGUGAAAGCGUGGGGAGCAAACAGGAUUAGAUACCCCAGUAGUC